GUGACCACGAACUGGAUGCAAGGGAGAGAAGGAGCCACUCCCUUGCCUGGAGCCAGGAAACCAAAACUCACGUUCAAAAGAACCAGGAAACGGCAAAUCACCAGGCGAGAGCCUAGAAACCGAAACUCACAGAAUGCUCCCAGCUGACUUCCUCCUCGAGAUUUCUGCCCACCCCGCGCAGGGUGGGCAGCAGGCGGGGAUUGAGGUCGUCUUUCAAGGCUCUUCCCUUCUCCCCUUGCUAAGAAACAAAAUUCAAUGGCGUAAAUUUCAACAUCUAACUGACUUCAUCAAGCACUUCAUAGAUCGGGCAGCAUCCCACCUAGCAAGUAGAAAGAGCUCCAGAAGUUGUACACAAGGGACAGUUUUUAUGGGAAGGAGGACGGAGCAAGAAGCUGUUAACAGGAAAAGAAAGGACCGUUUCAGGCCAGGGCAUCUUUCUGGGGCCAAGGAACUGGGCCGGCAGUGUUUAUCCUGCAGAUGACAUCACCAGUGCUGGCGGAAUCUCAGGCCGACUCUUCAAAGGUCACGUUCCAGGCAUAGGUUAAAACUGUAAUUAAGUUUCGGUUUGCUGUCAUGGGGGGCAUUUGGGGCUUGGUUUUUUCCUUUGUAACACCCUUGUCUCCAGGGCCUGGGAAGUCAGAGUCAGUGAGAGCAGCGAGAAGGGGACCCGGAGGGGGACUGAUUUGCCCAGGGACACAGAGAAAGGCAAAGUCUGAGCCAGACUCAGGGUCUGGUUCUGCCGCUGGGUGAUGUGGGACACAAAGGCAGAGGGAAAUAUAGGUAAAAUUAAAUACCUUCUAACCUGCAGCCUGACAAAUACUGGAGGCAGGCGGAGUAAAAUGUUCCUCCAGGAAACUCCCAGCUGUCCUAACAUUAGUGCUUUGCUAGAGGGAAAAUCUACCUCAGCUUGACAGUGGCAAGGCCUCCAGGACGCUGUGAGUCUUCAGCAUAUGAAAAUCCUUUUUGGGACGCCUGGGUGGCUCAGUUGGUCAAGUGGCUGCCUUCUCCUCAGGCCGUGAUCUCAGGGUCCUGGGAUCGAGCCCUGCAUCAGGUUCCCAGCUCAGCGGGGAGCCUGCUUCUCCCUCUCCCUCCGCCGCUCCCCCCUGCUUGUGUUCUCUCACUCUCUCUCUCUUUCAAAUAAAUAAAUAAAUAAAAUCUUAAAAAAAAAAAAAGAAAAGAAAAUCCUUUGGGAACUUGCCUUGGCUUUACUCUCCCCAGCCCCAAAGUAUAUAAUCAGUUACCCCUCACGAUCCCAGGGCGGCAGCUCUUCCUGCCAGGAGGUCCUGUCCUCGUGCUUUAAUAAAACCACCUUUUUUGC
rnacentral:lncRNA from 1 species